rnacentral:rRNA from 1 species
GACGAACGCUGGCGGCGUGCUUAACACAUGCAAGUCGAGCGGUAAGGCCCUUUCGGGGGUACACGAGCGGCGAACGGGUGAGUAACACGUGGGUGACCUGCCCUCAGCUCUGGGAUAAGCCUGGGAAACUGGGUCUAAUACCGGAUAUGACCCCAUAACGCAUGUCGUGGGGUGGAAAGCCUUGUGCGGCUGAGGAUGGGCCCGCGGCCUAUCAGCUUGUUGGUGGGGUGAUGGCCACCAAGGCGACGACGGGUAGCCGGCCUGAGAGGGCGACCGGCCACACUGGGACUGAGACACGGCCCAGACUCCUACGGGAGGCAGCAGUGGGGAAUCUUGCGCAAUGGGCGAAAGCCUGACGCAGCGACGCCGCGUGAGGGAUGACGGCCU